rnacentral:rRNA from 1 species
ACGAACGCUGGCGGCGUGCUUAACACAUGCAAGUCGAACGGAAAGGCCCCUUUGGGGGUACUCGAGUGGCGACCGGGUGAGUAACAUGUGAGUAACCUGCCCUUGACUUCGGGAUAACUUCAGGAAACUGGGGCUAAUACCGGAUAGGAAUCCUUGCUGCAUGGUGGGGGUUGGAAAGCUUCGGCGGUUUUGGAUGGACUCGCGGCUUAUCAGCUUGUUGGUGGGGUAGUGGCUUACCAAGGCUUUGACGGGUAGCCGGCCUGAGAGGGCGACCGGCCACAUUGGGACUGAGAUACGGCCCAGACUCCUACGGGAGGCAGCAGUGGGGAAUAUUGCACAAUGGGCGGAAGCCUGAUGCAGCAACGCCGCGUGCGGGAUGACGGCCUUCGGGUUGUAAACCGCUUUCAGCAGGGGCGAAGCUUGUGGUGACGGUACCUGCAGAAGAAGCACCGGCUAACUACGUG